rnacentral:rRNA from 1 species
AGAGUUUGAUCCUGGCUCAGGAUGAACGCUAGCUACAGGCUUAACACAUGCAAGUCGAGGGGCAGCAUGGUCUUAGCUUGCUAAGGCCGAUGGCGACCGGCGCACGGGUGAGUAACACGUAUCCAACCUGCCGUCUACUCUUGGACAGCCUUCUGAAAGGAAGAUUAAUACAAGAUGGCAUCAUGAGUCCGCAUGUUCACAUGAUUAAAGGUAUUCCGGUAGACGAUGGGGAUGCGUUCCAUUAGAUAGUAGGCGGGGUAACGGCCCACCUAGUCUUCGAUGGAUAGGGGUUCUGAGAGGAAGGUCCCCCACAUUGGAACUGAGACACGGUCCAAACUCCUACGGGAGGCAGCAGUGAGGAAUAUUGGUCAAUGGGCGAGAGCCUGAACCAGCCAAGUAGCGUGAAGGAUGACUGCCCUAUGGGUUGUAAACUUCUUUUAUAAAGGAAUAAAGUCGGGUAUGCAUACCCGUUUGCAUGUACUUUAUGAAUAAGGAUCGGCUAACUCCGUGCCAGCAGCCGCGGUAAUACGGAGGAUCCGAGCGUUAUCCGGAUUUAUUGGGUUUAAAGGGAGCGUAGAUGGAUGUUUAAGUCAGUUGUGAAAGUUUGCGGCUCAACCGUAAAAUUGCAGUUGAUACUGGAUAUCUUGAGUGCAGUUGAGGCAGGCGGAAUUCGUGGUGUAGCGGUGAAAUGCUUAGAUAUCACGAAGAACUCCGAUUGCGAAGGCAGCCUGCUAAGCUGCAACUGACAUUGAGGCUCGAAAGUGUGGGUAUCAAACAGGAUUAGAUACCCUGGUAGUCCACACGGUAAACGAUGAAUACUCGCUGUUUGCGAUAUACAGCAAGCGGCCAAGCGAAAGCGUUAAGUAUUCCACCUGGGGAGUACGCCGGCAACGGUGAAACUCAAAGGAAUUGACGGGGGCCCGCACAAGCGGAGGAACAUGUGGUUUAAUUCGAUGAUACGCGAGGAACCUUACCCGGGCUUAAAUUGCAGAUGAAUUACGGUGAAAGCCGUAAGCCGCAAGGCAUCUGUGAAGGUGCUGCAUGGUUGUCGUCAGCUCGUGCCGUGAGGUGUCGGCUUAAGUGCCACAACGAGCGCAACCCUUGUUGUCAGUUACUAACAGGUCAUGCUGAGGACUCUGACAAGACUGCCAUCGUAAGAUGUGAGGAAGGUGGGGAUGACGUCAAAUCAGCACGGCCCUUACGUCCGGGGCUACACACGUGUUACAAUGGGGGGUACAGAGGGCCGCUACCACGCGAGUGGAUGCCAAUCCCCAAAACCUCUCUCAGUUCGGACUGGAGUCUGCAACCCGACUCCACGAAGCUGGAUUCGCUAGUAAUCGCGCAUCAGCCACGGCGCGGUGAAUACGUUCCCGGGCCUUGUACACACCGCCCGUCAAGCCAUGGGAGCCGGGGGUACCUGAAGUGCGUAACCGCGAGGAGCGCCCUAGGGUAAAACUGGUGACUGGGGCUAAGUCGUAACAAGGUA